AACCCACGGGACCAACACACGAAAAAAUAAUUCCCUAAGAGAAAAGAUUAUAAGGUGAUUACCGACUCCACUGACUCGACCUCUCUUAACCUCUUAAGAAUCUCGCGCAAUCCUUCGGGUUGUCCACGCUCUCACGUUCCGAAUCCACNACAAAUCUCAAUGCGAUAAAAAUAAAUGCGAAAAAUAAAAAUCACACCGAGAUUUACGUGGGAAAACUUCAACUUGGAGAAAAAAACCCACGGGACCAACACGUGAAAAAAUAAUUCACUGAGAGAAAAGAUUACAAGGUGAUUACCGACUCCACUGACUCGACCUCUCUUAACCUCUUAAGAAUCUCGCGCAAUCCUUCGGGUUGUCCACGCUCUCACGUUCCGAAUCCACGAACGCCACGUUCCGAAUCCACGAAACGCCUCCACUCCGAAUCCACGAAGCUCACGAUCCGAAUCCACGAACCGCCAUCAAUCACGCCGAAUCCACGACGCCGUCAUGAAGAACAUCAUGUGUAUGGUGAUCCUUCGCUUAGAGUGUUGUAGAAAACCAGAGAAGAAAACUCCAAGCGAAGCGUAGAUCAAAUCGACAUAUUGAUAUUA
rnacentral:lncRNA from 1 species